rnacentral:misc_RNA from 1 species
UCCGAGUUGACCCCGGCAGUCUCCCAUGAGUCCCCGGCAUUACCCGCUGGCAACAUGGAACGAGGGUUGCGCUCGUUGCGGGACUUAACCCAACAUCUCACGAUACGAGCUGACGACAACCAUGCAGCACCUCUGCGGACUCCCUUGCGGGUCAGCCGGUGUUUCCACUAGCUUACCAUCCGUAGUUCAAGCCCAGGUAAGGUUCUUCGCGUAGCGUCGAAUUAAACCACAUGUUCCACCGCUUGUGCGGGCCCCCGUCAAUUCCUUUGAGUUUCAACCUUGCGGCCGUACUCCCCAGGCGGCUCAUUUAAUGCGUUAGCUGCGACGCGGAAGGGGUCGAUACCUCCCACAUCUAAUGAGCAUCGUUUAGGGCUAGGACUAC